UACGUAGGGCGCAAGCGUUGUCCGGAAUUAUUGGGCGUAAAGAGCUCGUAGGCGGCUUGUUGCGUCGGUUGUGAAAGCCCGGGGCUUAACCCCGGGUCUGCAGUCGAUACGGGCAGGCUAGAGUUCGGUAGGGGAGAUCGGAAUUCCUGGUGUAGCGGUGAAAUGCGCAGAUAUCAGGAGGAACACCGGUGGCGAAGGCGGAUCUCUGGGCCGAUACUGACGCUGAGGAGCGAAAGCGUGGGGAGCGAACAGG
rnacentral:rRNA from 1 species